AUGUAUGAAGAUCUUAUCAAUAUGGGGCAUGUGUUCUGUAGAAAGCACAUUUGGAAAAUCAAAGUACCUUUAAAGAUAAAGAUUUUUAUGUGGUUUGUUCAAAGGGGGGUGAUUCUCACCAAAGAUAAUUUGGCUAAAUAAAACCGAAAUGGAUUUAAAGUGUUGUUCUGUGAUCAGGAAGAAACAAUUCAACAUCUUUUUAUUUCCUGCCCUUUUGCGGCUUUGACUUGGUGCACGGUCCAUGUUAUAUAUAAUCUGCCACCCCCAACAAGUAUCCCAAAUUCGUUUGGAAACUGGUUGGUUGGUACUAACAAAAAGCUUGAAGGUCAUAUAAGUGUAGGGAUUUAUGCCUUACUUUGGACAAGUUGGAAUUGCCAGAAUGACUAG
rnacentral:rRNA from 1 species